CCUACGGGAGGCAGCAGUGAGGAAUAUUGGUCAAUGGACGAGAGUCUGAACCAGCCAAGUAGCGUGAAGGAUGACUGCCCUAUGGGUUGUAAACUUCUUUUAUAUGGGAAUAAAAUGUUCCACGUGUGGGAUUUUGUAUGUACCAUAUGAAUAAGGAUCGGCUAACUCCGUGCCAGCAGCCGCGGUAAUACGGAGGAUCCGAGCGUUAUCCGGAUUUAUUGGGUUUAAAGGGAGCGUAGGUGGAUUGUUAAGUCAGUUGUGAAAGUUUGCGGCUCAACCGUAAAAUUGCAGUUGAAACUGGCAGUCUUGAGUACAGUAAAGGUGGGCGGAAUUCGUGGUGUAGCGGUGAAAUGCUUAGAUAUCACGAAGAACUCCGAUUGCGAAGGCAGUUCACUGGACUGCAACUGACACUGAGGCUCGAAAGUGUGGGUAUCAAACAGGAUUAGAUACCCGAGUAGUC
rnacentral:rRNA from 1 species